rnacentral:miRNA from 2 species
CUAUACAACCUGCUGCCUUUC